rnacentral:rRNA from 1 species
UACGAAGGGGCUAGCGUUGUUCGGAUUUACUGGGCGUAAAGCGCACGUAGGCGGGUCGUUAAGUCGGGGGUGAAAUCCUGGAGCUCCAACUCCAGAACUGCCUCGAUACUGGCGAACCUAGAGUCCGGAAGAGGUGAGUGGGAACUCCUAGUGUAGAGGUGGAAUUCGUAGAUAUUAGGAAGAACACCAGUGGCGAAGCGGCGUCAC